UACGUAGGGGGCGAGCGUUGUCCGGAUUUACUGGGUGUAAAGGGUGCGUAGGCGGCUCUGUAAGUCAGAAGUGAAAUCCAUGGGCUCAACCCAUGAACUGCUUUUGAAACUGUGGAGCUUGAGUGAAGUAGAGGUAGGCGGAAUUCCCGGUGUAGCGGUGAAAUGCGUAGAGAUCGGGAGGAACACCAGUGGCGAAGGCGGCCUACUGGGCUUUAACUGACGCUGAGGCACGAAAGCGUGGGUAGCAAACAGG
rnacentral:rRNA from 1 species